UUGGAAGCAGCCAUUCAUUUAAAGAGUGCGUAACAGCUCACUAGUCGAGGAGUUUGGCGUGGAUAAUAAUCGGGCAUAAGUAUUCUACCGAAGCUUUGGGAUGAGAAAUCAUCGGUAGGGGAGCAUUCCACUCGGCGUCGAAGGUGAAGCGCGAGCUUUGCUGGAGCGUGUGGAAAAGCAAAUGUAGGUAUAAGUAACGAUAAAGGGGGUGGGAAACCCCCUCGCCGAAAGACUAAGGUUUCCUGAUCAACGCUAAUCGGAUCAGGGUAAGUCGGGUCCUAAGGCUCAGCCGAACGGCGAGGCCGAUGGCAGAACCGGUUAAUAUUCCGGUACUACCUGUGGGAGUGACGUGGAGACGGAGUCGUGACAGCGCCGCGGACUGACGGAAUAGUCCGUUGAAGGGUGUAGAUGCUGAUUGUUCCAGGCAAAUCCGGAGCAAGAGUCGAACCUGAUAGUAUGGAGCGUUCUUAGAACAAUCCAAUAGUGCGUGUAAUCAUACUUCCAAGAAAAUCCGCUAAACUUAAUCCUGCAGGUACCCGUACCGCAAACGGACACACGUAGUCGGGUUGAAUAUACUAAGGCGCUUGAGUGAUUCACGGUUAAGGAACUAGGCAAACUGACCCUGUAACUUCGGGAUAAAGGGUCCUCGCUUUACGGCGAGGCGCAGAGAAUAGGUCCAGGCAACUGUUUAACAAAAACACAGGGCUGUGCAAAAUUGAAAGAUGAAGUAUACAGCCUGACACCUGCCCGGUGCUGGAAGGUUAAGAGGAGAUGUCAUCGCAAGAGAAGCAUUGAAUUGAAGCCCCAGUAAACGGCGGCCGUAACUAUAACGGUCCUAAGGUAGCGAAAUUCCUUGUCGGGUAAGUUCCGACCUGCACGAAUGGUGUAAUGAUCUGGACGCUGUCUCAACCGUGAGCUCAGUGAAAUUGUAGUAUCGGUGAAGAUGCCGAUUACCCGCGAUGGGACGAAAAGACCCCGUGAACCUUUACUAUAGCUUAACAUUGAAUUUGGGUAAUUGAUGUGUAGGAUAGGCCGGAGGCUUCGAAGCAGGUACGCCAGUAUUUGUGGAGCCGCUGUUGAAAUACGGCCCUUUGAUUAUUUGAGUUCUAACCCGUUGAUGCGGGGACACUGUUUGGUGGGUAGUUUGACUGGGGUGGUCGCCUCCAAAAGUGUAACGGAGGCUUCUAAAGGUGCCCUCACGACGAUUGGUAACCGUCGGCAGAGUG
rnacentral:rRNA from 1 species